CGCACAUUGCGCCCAUUAGUAUUCUAGCGGGCAUGCCUGUUCGAGCGUCAUUUCAAACUUCAAGCCUUGCUUGGUGUUGAAGCCAGCGAAUUUCGCGGCUUUCAAAGCUAUUGGCAGAUCUAUGAUGAUCUAGACUUAGUAAUUCUUCUAGUCUGUGAUUUCUCGUAUGGUUGAGCCUUACAAUCUAUUCAGCUCUGCUGGAAGAAUUUUCAAUAGUUUGACCUCGGAUCAGGUAGGAAUACCCGCUGAACUUAA
rnacentral:misc_RNA from 1 species